rnacentral:rRNA from 1 species
CCUACGGGCGGCAGCAGUGAGGAAUAUUGGUCAAUGGACGAGAGUCUGAACCAGCCAAGUAGCGUGAAGGAUGACUGCCCUAUGGGUUGUAAACUUCUUUUAUAAAGGAAUAAAACGAGGCACGUGUGCCUUUUUGCAUGUACUUUAUGAAUAAGGAUCGGCUAACUCCGUGCCAGCAGCCGCGGUAAUACGGAGGAUCCGAGCGUUAUCCGGAUUUCUUGGGUUUAAAGGGAGCGUAGAUGGGUUGUUAAGUAAGUUGUGAAAGUUUGCGGCUCAACCGUAAAAUUGCAAGUGAUACUGGCAGUCCUGAGUACAGUUGAGGGAAGCGGAAUUCGUGGGGUAGCGGGGAAAUGCUUAGAUAUUACGAAGAACCCCGAUUGCGAAGGCAGCUUACUAAACUGUGACUGACAUUGAUGCUCGAAAGUGUGGGUAUCAAACAGGAUUAGAUACCCUUGUAGUC